rnacentral:rRNA from 1 species
AUGGCUCAGGAUGAACGCUAGCUACAGGCUUAACACAUGCAAGUCGAGGGGCAGCAUUGGAGUAGCAAUACUCAGAUGGCGACCGGCGCACGGGUGAGUAACACGUAUCCAACCUGCCGCUUACUCGGGGAUAGCCUUUCGAAAGAAAGAUUAAUACCCGAUGGUAUAAAGAGUUCGCAUGUUCUCUUUAUUAAAGAAUUUCGGUAAGCGAUGGGGAUGCGUUCCAUUGGAUAGUUGGCGGGGUAACGGCCCACCAAGUCUACGAUGGAUAGGGGUUCUGAGAGGAAGGUCCCCCACAUUGGAACUGAGACACGGUCCAAACUCCUACGGGAGGCAGCAGUGAGGAAUAUUGGUCAAUGGACGAGAGUCUGAACCAGCCAAAGUAGCGUGAAGGAUGACUGCCCUAUGGGUUGUAAACUUCUUUUAUAAGGGAAUAAAGUGAGGGACGUGUCCCUUUUUGUAUGUACCUUAUGAAUAAGGAUCGGCUAACUCCGUGCCAGCCGCAGC